rnacentral:misc_RNA from 1 species
CUGGAACGCGCCCCAGGCGCACCCAGAAACCCUUUGUGAACUUAUACCUUACUGUUGCCUCGGCGCAUGCCGGCCCCCAGGGGCCCCUCGGAGACGAGGAGCAGGCACGCCGGCGGCCAACCUAACUCUUGUUUUUACACUGAAACUCUGAGAAAAAAAAAAAAAAAAAAACAAAAUGAAUCA